rnacentral:ncRNA from 1 species
GAGACGCUUCGCCACAUCCGCCGCAAGACGGAGCCGGAAAGCCGCGGGUCUUGCUAUGCCGAGACAGCCGGGCCGCCUCU